rnacentral:rRNA from 1 species
UGUUUGAUCCUGGCUCAGAUUGAACGCUGGCGGCGUGCUUAACACAUGCAAGUCGAGCGAGAAAGGGUCUUUCGGGACCUGAGUACAGCGGCGCACGGGUGAGUAACGCGUGGAUUAUCUGCCUCAUUGACCGGGAUAACAGUGGGAAACCGCUGCUAAUACUGGAUACGCUCCAUGGAAACAUGAGGGAAAGGCGGCCUCUGAUUCAAGCUGUCGCAAUGAGAUGAGUCCGCGUCUCAUUAGCUAGUUGGCGGGGUAAUGGCCCACCAAGGCAACGAUGAGUAGCCGGCCUGAGAGGGUGGCCGGCCACACUGGAACUGAAACACGGUCCAGACUCCUACGGGAGGCAGCAGUGGGGAAUAUUGCGCAAUGAGCGAAAGCCUGACGCAGCGACGCCGCGUGAGGGAAGAAGGCCUUCGGGUCGUAAACCUCUGUUCUGGAGGAAAGAAACUCCAUGGGUUCGAAUAGGGCCCAUGGCUGACGGUACCUCACGAAGAAGCACCGUAACUCCUG